rnacentral:rRNA from 1 species
UACGUAGGGUGCAAGCGUUGUCCGGAAUUAUUGGGCGUAAAGAGCUCGUAGGCGGUUUGUCGCGUCUGCUGUGAAAACCCGAGGCUCAACCUCGGGCCUGCAGUGGGUACGGGCAGACUAGAGUGCGGUAGGGGAGACUGGAAUUCCUGGUGUAGCGGUGAAAUGCGCAGAUAUCGAAGGAGGAACACCGGUGGCGGAAGGCGGGUCUCUGGGCCGUAACUGACGC